CCACUACUCCCUCCGUUCGGAAUUACUUGUCUUAAAAAUGGAAGUAUCUAGAACUAAAAUACAUCUAGAUACAUCCAUUUUCGCGACAAGUAAUUUCGAACAGAGGGAGUAGUUU
rnacentral:pre_miRNA from 1 species